GGAGAAGUGGCUCAGUGGUUAAGAGCACUGACUGCUCUUCCAGAGGUCCUGAGUUCAAUUCCCAGCCACCA
rnacentral:tRNA from 1 species